rnacentral:rRNA from 1 species
GAUGAACGCUGGCGGCGUGCCUAAUACAUGCAAGUCGAGCGAACGGACGAGAAGCUUGCUUCUCUGAUGUUAGCGGCGGACGGGUGAGUAACACGUGGAUAACCUACCUAUAAGACUGGGAUAACUUCGGGAAACCGGAGCUAAUACCGGAUGAUAUUUUGAACCGCAUGGUUCAAAAGUGAAAGACGGUCUUGCUGUCACUUAUAGAUGGAUCCGCGCUGCAUUAGCUAGUUGGUAAGGUAACGGCUUACCAAGGCAACGAUGCAUAGCCGACCUGAGAGGGUGAUCGACCACACUGGAACUGAGACACGGUCCAGACUCCUACGGGAGGCAGCAGUAGGGAAUCUUCCGCAAUGGGCGAAAGCCUGACGGAGCAACGCCGCGUGAGUGAUGAAGGUCUUCGGAUCGUAAAACUCUGUUAUUAGGGAAGAACAUAUGUGUAAGUAACUGUGAACAUCUUGACGGUACCUAAUCAGAAAGCCACGGCUAACUACGUG